UUUUUGGAGAGUUUGAUCCUGGCUCAGGAUGAACGCUGGCGGCAUGCCUAAGACAUGCAAGUCGUACGAAGUAGCCCAAAGAAGUGGAGUGCUUGCACGAAGCGGACUUGGAUUACUACUUAGUGGCGGAAGGGUGAGUAACACGUGGGUAAUCUGCCUCAGAGACUGGGAUAACUACUAGAAAUGGUAGCUAAUACCGGAUGAGAGAUAGAAAGAUACGUUUUUCUAUAGUAAAAGAAGCCUUAAAGCUUCACUUUGAGAUGAGCCUGCGGCGUAUUAGCUAGUUGGUGGGGUAAAAGCCUACCAAGGCGACGAUGCGUAGCCGACCUGAGAGGGUGAUCGGCCACACUGGGACUGAGACAC
rnacentral:rRNA from 1 species